AUUGAACGCUGGCGGCAUGGCUAAGACAUGCAAGUCGAGCGCGAAAGUCCCUUCGGGGGCGAGUAGAGCGGCGAAAGGGUGAGUAAUGCGUUCCUACGUACCCCCUGGUCCGGGGAUAGCCGGCCUAACGGCCCGGGUAAUACCCGAUGUGGUCUCCGGAUCAAAGGCUUCGGUCGCCAGGGGAGCGGGGAACGUCCUAUCAGGUUGUUGGUGAGGUAAAGGCUCACCAAGCCAAAGACGGGUAGCGGGGUGUGAGAGCAUGACCCCGCCACAUCGGGACUGAGACACUGCCCGGACUCCUACGGGAGGCUGCAGUAAACAAUAUUCCGCAAUGCGCGAAAGCGUGACGGAGCAAUGCCGCGUGCAGGAUGAAGCCCUUCGGGGUGUAAACUGCUGUCAGGGUCUAGGAACACAAUGACCAGACCCAAAGGAAGGGCCGGCUAACUUCGUG
rnacentral:rRNA from 1 species